rnacentral:lncRNA from 1 species
UUCCCGAGCCCGGAUGCUCGGCCCGCUUUGAGGAAAGUCGAUCCUCGCGUCGAGCCCGUCGUUUUGAGUGAGUUUUACUCACUAAUGCCUCCUUAGUGUGCUAAUUACACUUAAAGGUUGAUUAGUUUUAAUUAAAUGUAAUUAGGUUGUUAUAUUAGAAUUGAUUAGUGAUUUUUAUUUAAUUGCUUUGCAUAUUAAUUGUGUGAUUAGGGUAAUUAGAUAGAGAAUUGCUUGUAGUAUUUAUUGGAUGCUUCUUGGGAUUUUUCCCGUCCCUUAUCGGGUGUUAAUUAAGCGAUUCGUGCCUAGGUGGAAUUUUUAGGAAUUAAAUAUUAAUUUUGGAAAUUAAUUAUUUAAUUAUUUAUUUCCCGGAAAUUCAACUGGGAUGGCUAGUGACCGGGAUUUUAUGCUGAUGAUGGUGGCGCAGACCGUUUAUUUAAAUUGAGCUUUAUAUUGUACUAAAUUGAAUUUAUUGUAUUUAUUUAUUUAAUUUUCGAAAUUAAUUAUUUAAUUAUUUAUUUUCCGGAAAUUCAACUGGGAUGGCCAGUGACCGGAAUUUCGUGCUGAUUGUCAUGGAGCAGUCCGUUUAUUUAUUUGAGCUUUAAUUCGUGUCGAAUUGAUUUAAUGGUGCAUUUUUAAGUAUGUUAUUCAAUAAUGCAAUUUUGGCCUUGUGAUUGAGAAUUGGUCGGAUAUCGGUUGUUAGUAUCGAAAGUGAGUUGGUAAAUCACCUUGAGGAUGCACGUGGCCCAGUGAAUUGGAAUAUCACUUGGGAAAGACACGUGGCUCGGUGAUUUGAUAUGUCAUCUUGGCGAAAAGAUAGCCUUAGAGAAUGCACGUGGCUCGGAGACUCGGUAUGUCUUCCUGGAGAAUGCACGUGGCUCGGUGACAUAGUAUGACAUCUCGAGAGGGUCGGGUGGGACCGUAAAGCCACUAGUUCUUGAGAGGGUCGGGUGGGACCGUAAAGCCACUAGUUCUUGAGAGGGUCGGGUGGGACCGAAAAGCCACUAGUUCUCGAGAGGGUCGGGUGGGACCGUAAAGCCACUAGUUCUGGAGAGGGUCGGGUGGGACCGAAAAGCCACUAGUUCUCGAGAGGGUCGGGUGGGACCGUAAAGCCACUAGUUCUGGAGAGGGUCGGGUGGGACCGAAAAGCCACUAGUUCUCGAGAGGGUCGGGUGGGACCGUAAAGCCACUAAAUCCAAGGAAUUGCUUGGUGUUGGAUGAAUGACCUAGAAAUGAUUUGACUAGGUCAAUUGAUCGAUGAUUCGAUCUGAGUGUUUUUUGAUGUGAUUCAUUGCCUUGGUUCGAUGUGUUGAAUUGAAUGAUUGAAGGGAGAUGAUCGUGAGUGGUUUUCCUGAUGUGAAAUCGACUAAGUCGAUUAGAUCGAUGCUUCGAUCUAUGAUGUGAUUGUUUGUGUGCCUAUUCGAACUGUACUAAUAUGCAGGUGGAAUCUGAGGCUAAGGUACGUCAUCUGACUCAUGUUGUGCGUAGGCAGCCCUAAGGUGUAUUAGUUUACUAAUCGGGUCUUAGGGAGUAGAACUUGCUGAGACGUGGGUCUCAGUGGUUAUUGAAUAACCAUUUCAGGACUUGGAUGAGAAGCCUAAGGAGCAUGAAUCUGAUGAGGAGGUCCCUGACGAGGAACCCGAAGAGGAGUACGUGGAGGAGGACCCCGAGUACGACCCGGAUGAGGACUAAGAUCCCGUCCAGUCUUGUCANNNNNNNNNNNNNNNNNNNNNNNNNNNNNNNNNNNNNNNNNNNNNNNNNNNNNNNNNNNNNNNNNNNNNNNNNNNNNNNNNNNNNNNNNNNNNNNNNNNNGGAAGAAAACCUGGAUGAAUUCAGUAUCCAGGUACGGUGAGAAGAACGAAAUGAACCGACCUGGCACUAGGCAGAGGAAGAAUGUUUUGGGGGAAAAUUCUAUCAGAGUAUCGUAGUAGAGUUUGGAUGAAGUUUGGGGAACUUCAGUUUAUUGAAAUAAGUGGAAGAAAGGGGAAUCACCAGUUAUUGUUCUUUGGAUUAAUAGAACCGAAGGUACGGAUGUGAAGAUUGAUGAAUGAGGAAUUCAUGCAUAUUAGUGCAUCGCUUUAAGGAACAUUAGUUUUGUGGAAAGAGAAAUGAAAAUGGUUCAUUGCAAUCAUGCAUCAACCAUUGUCAACUUAAUUGGGUGACUUGUUAUAAAGAGUGUUGAUGUCUUCAAGGAUCGACUUGAGGACAUGUUAUCUUCAAUUGAGAACCAAUAAAAAGGUUAUACUGAAGACAACACUUCGCACUUGAUUUAGCCUUGUGAGAAUAAUGUAAAGCCAUUUGAUUUGACGAACGCUUCAGCCGCUAUCAUAGACUUGACAAGCUGAGUAUUCAAGGAAUAUCUAGAUCAAUGGUGAUCGUGUGGUGUAGUGACAUUCUAGGGUAUUCAUUAAGUGAUGAGGAUCACGAGAGCCCUUAAGAAUGGUCAUGUGAUUACAGGUUAAGGAAUCCUCAUGGACCCAGCCUAGAUUGAAUCAAUUGUUUAUGGACCGAGACUGACAUCAAUGUCAGAGAUCAGAAACUGUGGGGAUUGGACAGAUUACUACAGAAGGUUUGUGAAAGAAUUUCAGCAUCAGUACCAUCGUGGGCUUGAUCUCUUAAGAAAGAAGAGAAAUUCAUCAUCAUAGACAAGUACGAGGAUAGUUUCCAAUGCUUAAAUAAGAACUGACUAUCGUACUUGUGCUAAACUUUUUGUUUGGCUCUAGAAAGCAUGAAAUCUUUAGUGAUGUGUCUUACAGAGAACUGGGUACGUAUUGAUACAACAUAAGAAGAUUGUUGCAUCACCGUUCCGCCAAUUGAGACUAAUAAGUGGAAUACGAAGCGGGUCGUGAACCAGAAUUGUGGCAGAACUAUAAUAGUGAUAUCGGGUAUCACCUCGGAGGAACGAAAUGAGUCAUUAAUGUGUUGAGCCGAGAGUCUUCAAUUGUGCAUAGGCUGGCUAAAGUGUAGACUUUACUUGAAAAGACUUCGAAGCUUGGUUUUCAAAUUUGAGGUAGGCUACCUUUUGAAUUUUAUAGCUGCCCUCAAAAUUGAACCAUACGUUCCAAUUAGAAUCAAGCAUUUAGUUGGCAGACAAAGAUGUUCAGAAAAUCUUAUAAGAGGAUACUGGCAAUAAAGAAUCUAACUUUAAGACUUCUGAGGAUGGAAAGUUCAGGUUCCAUGAGUGAUUGAAUACACUUGACAGUGUAGCACUCAAGGAAAAGAUCUUGUCAGAAGUUUCACUAUAGUAUUGCAGAUUUGACCAGAUGGUGCAAGUAAAUCAGAAUCAGCAUCAGCUAGAUUAGUAGACUGAUAUGAAGAUAGAUACCGUUGAGCAGGUUGCAAGCGUCAGAAGUGUCAAUAAGUGGAAUGUGAAUCGGAAGAAUUUUUAUCAUCACUUGGGAGUCCCUAGUGGGAAGGAUAAUAUAUCACAAUGGAACAUUGUGAUAGGCUUACUAAAGAUUCAUGGGAUUACUGAUACCAUUUGAGAAUAGUGGUUGAUCGAUAGAUGGAGUUGGUCUACCUUGGUACAGUACGAAUAGAUCUUGUUUUGAGUGUGUAACAUCCAGAUUUCGGGCUCUGAUUUCGAUUAGAUAAAUAGGGCAUUUCAUCGACGCGAUUACAGUGUUUUUCUCUGAGUUGGCUACUCAUGAGAUAACUAGACUAGCUGAGUGAGUUAUUAAGGACCUUAAGGUAAAUAGACUUGAGAAUUCGACCAAUGAUUGACUUCUCAACCGUGCUCAUCUUUAGAGAUCAUUACGGCACAGUAUAAAACCCAAUUUGAAAUCAAAGAUAGAUCGAUUCGAGUGAGAUGAAUGACCGAUCGUGGGUGACUCCACUAAAUUGGAAAAUUCUCAUCGAUCGACACUAAUUUGAUGUUUCUAUCGUUUUGGCGCCCUGUGUCUGUAUUUGAAUCUUUGAGAUUUUCACGAUAAUCGAGAGCCGCCAAUGGGUCGAGUGGGUUUAUUGUGGCUCGAAGAAAAUCGACCACGGGUCAUUUGUACUAAAAAGCUCUGAACACUUCCCAGUAGCCUAGGUCACACUAAAAGCGUGUCGGAAUGAAAUUAACCGACAAUCUAAGUUUGAUUUCAGAAAUUGAAGAUUCUAUCUUAUCAGAGUGGGUAUAUCGAAGUGUGUGUGCAUCAGAUAAUUCGCCGGCAUGGAGUACCGAGAAUGGAUUAUAUUUCGAAUCUAAAUCAGAGAGUAUAAAUUUGGCAAAGUUUUCAGAGGGUUCUUUCUUAAGCAGUGUUAUAGAAGAGGGUACAUAAUUUCAGUGGUGAAAAGAAAGUGAAGAACAUUACAGGCCAUAGUCAGCUUAGUAAUCAGUGUUUGCAUUUAUCAUAUCAGUGUCAGAGUAAAGACUGUUCAGAACUGUCAGAAAUUUUGAAUCGUUGAGAUUCGAAUGUUUAUUAGGGAGUCGAGAAAAAGAGAUCAGAUGUGGAUGACCGAGUGUCUUAUGUGAGAAGUCCAGUUCAGUUGUUGGUUUAGAAGGAGUAGAGUUUGUGUACCAAGAUGAUCUCCUUAGUCAAAAUGGUCAGACAACACCAUGAGACCAAAGGAUUAGCGUGGGAAAAAGUGAGACUCGAUGAGACGACAAUACCCUCACCUUUCGUUUAAGGAUGGGUAAAGGUUUAAAUUUCGAGGACGAAAUUUUUAUAAGAGGGGAAGAGUUGUGACAUCCAGAUUUUCGAGUUCUAAUUUCGACUGGAUAAUAGGGCCGCUUUUGUUCGGUUGAAGUCAAGGAUUGUGAAAUUGGGAUGCAAGUGGGGCUACAUUGGAAAGGAAAAAUACCAAUUGGAAUGAUGAGGUGUUGCAUAAAUUAAUGGGGGCCAAUUUGAUUUAAUUCAAGAGGAAUUAAGGCCCAAUUGGAAAGAAAACCUAGCAAAUUCGUAUGCUACACAUACCCCCACAUUUUGGCCUAUCUAAAGGCUUCUAGAAGGGGUAGUUUUGGGCUAGAAAUGUGGGUGGAUGACAGCUCAGGGUGGCCCACGUGUGGGCUGACCUAAGAGAGAGAGAGAGAGAGAGAGAAAAAGAGAAACCGGUUUUCUCUUCUUCCCUUCUCUCUCCCGUCACUGUCUCUCUCUUCCUCCAUCUUCUUCUUUGGUUGUGUGACGCCAUGGAAGCUAAGGAAGCCGAAGCAACAGCAGCAGCUCCGCCCAUCGUUGCCUUCUCGUCGUCAUCGUCACACGCCCGCAAGCACAGGAGCUGCUCGCGCACCCGAGCCACCGCCGAGCUGCCGUCCGCGUGCUUCCGCCCCUCUCCUCCCUCUGGUUCAAACAGAACCGACUAGCAGAAGUAGAAGCAGCGAUCGGCGUUGCUUGAAGGAGCUACAAUCGCGUCGGAGCUGCCUUCGCCGUCGUGCCGGAACGCUGCCACCGUCCGUCUCCUGCUCGCCUGCUUGAACGCCGUCCACCCUCUGUCUUCCCCUUCAUUCGUUGCUCGGGGUUCCAGAUCUGGGAGGACACCGGAGUUGGGGCAGCAACUGGCGUUGUUGGACCGGAGCUGCCGCACCACCGCCCGCGCGACGCCGUGCACUCCGCCGCCUCACGCUCGGGCCUGCCAUCCUCGCUGCACGACCUAACCCCUGUUUCGCCUCUGUCCAGCCUCUGUUUUACCUCUGGUCGGUCUCGUUCGACCACCUCAGGCCGUCGCCUGACCACCUCCGACCACCAUCGACCUCGCCGGAGCUCCGCCUCGCCCUCAAUCGCCCUUGGCCGCCUCAACCAGCCCCGAAUCUACCCAUUCCAACAGUGAUCAGUGAGUGCAGAAAAUGGGUAUCGCAGAGGGUUUUGGCCCGUUUUGGUCGCCUUCCCGAGCCCGGAUGCUCGGCCCGCUUUGAGGAAAGUUGAUCCUCGCGUCGAGCCCGUUGUUUUGAGUGAGUUUUACUCACUAAUGCCUUCUUAGUUCGCUAAUUAUACUUAAAGGUUGAUUAGUGUUAAUUAAGUGUAAUUAGGUUGUUAGAUUAGAAUGGAUUAGGGAUUAUUAGUUCAUUGCUUUGUAUAUUAGUGAUGUAAUUAGUAUAAUUAGAUAGAGAAUUGCAUGUAGUAUUUAUUGGAUGCUUCUUGGGAUUUUUCCCGUCCCUUAUCGGGUAUUAAUUAAGCGAUUCGGGCCUAAGUGGUAUUUUUAGGAAUUAAAUAUUAAUUUUCGAAAUUAAUUAUUUAAUUAUUUAUUUUCCGGAAAUUCAACUGGGAUGGCUAGUGACCGGGAUUUUAGGCUGAUGAUUGUGGCGCAGUCCGUUUAUUUAAUUAAGCUUUAUAUUGUGCUAAAUUGAAUUUAUUGUAUUUAUUUAUUUAAUUUUCGAAAUUAAUUAUUUAAUUAUUCAUUUUCCGGAAAUUCAACUGGGAUGGCCAGUGACCGGAAUUCUGUGCUGAUGGUCAUGGAGCAGUCCGUUUAUUUAUUUGAGCUUUAAUUCGUGUCGAAUUGAUUUAAUGGUGGUGCAUUUUUAAGUAUGUUAUUAAAUAAUGCAAUUUUGGCCUUGUCAUUGAGAAUCGGUCGAAUAUCGGUUGUUAGUAUCGAAAGUGAGUUGGUAAAUCACCUUGAGGAUGCACGUGGCCCAGUAAAUUGGGAUGUUACUCGGGAAAGACACGUGGCUCGGUGAUUAGAUAUGUCACAUUGGCAAAAAGGUAGCAUUAGAGAAUGCACGUGGCUCGGAGACUCGGUAUGUCUUCCUGGAGAAUGCACGUGGCUCGGUGACAUAGUUUGGCAUCUUGAGAGGGUCGAGUGGGACCGUAAAGCCACUAGUUCUCGAGAGGGUCGGGUGGGACCGUAAAGCCACUAGUUCUCGAGAGGGUCGGGUGGGACCGUAAAGCCACUAGUUCUCGAGAGGGUCGGGUGGGACCGUAAAGCCACUAGUUCUUGAGAGGGUCGGGUGGGACCGUAAAGCCACUAAAUCUAAGGAAUUGCUUGGUGUUGGAUGAAUGACCUAGAAAUGAUUCGACUGACUUGUAAUCGACUUGGUCGAUUGAUCGAUGAUUCAAUCUGAGAGUGUCUUGAUGUGAUUCAUUGCCUUGGUUUGAUGUGUUGAAUUGAAUGAUUGAAGGGAGAUGAUCGUGAGUGGUCUUCCUGAUGUGAAAUCGACUAAGUCAAUUAGAUCGAUGCUUCGAUCUGUGAUGUGAUUGCUUGUGUGCCUAUUGAUCUGUACUAAUAUGUAGGUGGAAUCUGAGGCUAAAGGUACGUCCUCUGACUCAUGUUGUGCGUAGGCAGCCCUAAGGUGUAUUAGUUUACUAAUCGAGUCUUAGAAGGUAGAACUUGCUGAGACGUGGUCUCAGUGGUUAUUGAAUAACCAUUUCAGGACCUGGAUGAGGAGCCUAAGGAGCAUGAAUCUGAUGAGGAGAUCCCUGUUGAGGAACCCAAAGAGGAGUACGUGGAGGAGGACCCCGAGUAUGACAUCGAGUACGACCCGGAUGAGGACCGAAAUCCUAUCCUGUCUUGCCAGACCUUGUUUGCAUGUAAAAAG